GGAUGUGAGGUUAAACUGACUGCAAUGUCUGUAACCCCAUUGAUAGCAGGAUUGAUUCAGCCCUUGUGAGUGGCUAAGCAAGUGUCCUCUUCUUCCCUGAUUGUUCCAUGUGUCCCUCAUAAAACUGCAUGCCCAGGAAAGAGGCCAUCCUUCCCUGGUUGAGGACUGGUCUUCAAUCAAGGGUAUACAACUAGCUGCAUGUCCCUGCUAGAACCUCCACACAAAAUACAUUCCUGAACUAAGUCAUAGCACUUUAUCUCAAAGAUGAUUGCCUUUUCUUCUUAUUCUUCAUUCCUU
rfam:Dipodomys ordii contig_5930, whole genome shotgun sequence.